AAAGUCGUAACAAGGUUUCCGUAGGUGAACCUGCGGAAGGAUCAUUAAAGAGACGUUGCCCUUCGGGGUAUACCUCCCACCCUUUGUUUAUUAUACCUUUGUUGCUUUGGCGGGCCGCUUCGGCUACCGGCUUCGGCUGGUGAGUGCCUGCCAGAGGACCCCAAACUCUGAAUUUAUAGUGUCGUCUGAGUACUAUAUAAUAGUUAAAACUUUCAACAACGGAUCUCUUGGUUCUG
rnacentral:misc_RNA from 1 species